GGACGAACGCUGGCGGCGUGCUUAACACAUGCAAGUCGAACGAUGAUCUCCAGCUUGCUGGGGUGAUUAGUGGCGAACGGGUGAGUAACACGUGAGUAACCUGCCCUUCACUCUGGGAUAACUCCGGGAAACCGGUGCUAAUACUGGAUACGACCUGAACAGGCAUCUGUAUCGGGUGGAAAGAUUUAUUGGUGGAGGAUGGACUCGCGGCCUAUCAGCUUGUUGGUGAGGUAAUGGCUCACCAAGGCGACGACGGGUAGCCGGCCUGAGCGGGCAGCGACG
rnacentral:rRNA from 1 species